UCGUCACACUAUCAUUAACUGAAUCCAUAGGUUAAUGAGGCGAACCGGGGGAACUGAAACAUCUAAGUACCCCGAGGAAAAGAAAUCAACCGAGAUUCCCCCAGUAGCGGCGAGCGAACGGGGAGGAGCCCAGAGCCUGAAUCAGCAUGUGUGUUAGUGGAAGCGUCUGGAAAGGCGCGCGAUACAGGGUGACAGCCCCGUACACAAAAGCGCAUGUGCUGUGAGCUCGAUGAGUAGGGCGGGACACGUGGUAUCCUGUCUGAAUAUGGGGGGACCAUCCUCCAAGGCUAAAUACUCCUGACUGACCGAUAGUGAACCAGUACCGUGAGGGAAAGGCGAAAAGAACCCCGGCGAGGGGAGUGAAAAAGAACCUGAAACCGUGUACGUACAAGCAGUGGGAGCACAGGUUUACCUGUGUGACUGCGUACCUUUUGUAUAAUGGGUCAGCGACUUAUAUUCUGUAGCAAGGUUAACCGAAUAGGGGAGCCGUAGGGAAACCGAGUCUUAACCGGGCGUUAAGUUGCAGGGUAUAGACCCGAAACCCGGUGAUCUAGCCAUGGGCAGGUUGAAGGUUGGGUAACACUAACUGGAGGACCGAACCGACUAAUGUUGAAAAAUUAGCGGAUGACCUGUGGCUGGGGGUGAAAGGCCAAUCAAACCGGGAGAUAGCUGGUUCUCCCCGAAAGCUAUUUAGGUAGCGCCUCGUGAACUCAUCUCCGGGGGUAGAGCACUGUUUCGGCUAGGGGGCCAUCCCGGCUUACCAACCCGAUGCAAACUGCGAAUACCGGAGAAUGUUAUCACGGGAGACACACGGCGGGUGCUAACGUCCGUCGUGAAGAGGGAAACAACCCAGACCGCCAGCUAAGGUCCCAAAGUCAUGGUUAAGUGGGAAACGAUGUGGGAAGGCCCAGACAGCCAGGAUGUUGGCUUAGAAGCAGCCAUCAUUUAAAGAAAGCGUAAUAGCUCACUGGUCGAGUCGGCCUGCGCGGAAGAUGUAACGGGGCUAAACCAUGCACCGAAGCUGCGGCAGCGAACGUAUCACUUAAAGCGAUUCAGCGGGUUACGAUUGACGGAGCGAAGCGACGUCAAAGCGUAUAC
rnacentral:rRNA from 1 species